UACGAAGGGGGCUAGCGUUGUUCGGAAUCACUGGGCGUAAAGGGUGCGUAGGCGGGUCUUUAAGUCAGGGGUGAAAUCCUGGAGCUCAACUCCAGAACUGCCUUUGAUACUGAGGAUCUUGAGUUCGGGAGAGGUGAGUGGAACUGCGAGUGUAGAGGUGAAAUUCGUAGAUAUUCGGAAGAACACCAGUGGCGAAGGCGGCUCACUGGACCGGUAUUGACGCUGAGGUGCGAAAGCGUGGGGAGCAAACAGG
rnacentral:rRNA from 1 species